ensembl:lncRNA
GUUUCUUUCUGGAGAUUGCUCCUCCUGGAGUUUUUCCUGUGAGCCUAUGAUACAGGACUAAGAAAAACUCUGUUUUCUCGGGCUUCAAGGAGGGAUAAACUGAAAAUGUUGUUUUGAGGCCUGAAUCUUUCUUCUCAUGGUUCUUACUGACCUUUUGAAGUAAUUUUGCUCUGGUCAUUACUCACUUGCAAGCUCGUUUGAAGGGAACCUCAGCCUUACCCUUGAGAGUCCUUAGAGUUGGAAGAGACCUUUAAAGAUCAUCUAGCUCAACUCCCCUGCAAUGAGCAGAGACAUCCACAGUUGGAUCACGGAGCCCAGAACCUGGUGCAGCCUCGCCUAGAAAGUCUCUACAGACAGGACAUCCACCACAUCUCUAGGCAACUUGUUCCCUUGCCUCACUACACUCGCUGUCAAAGACAUUUUCCUUAUAUCCAAACUACAUUCACCCUUUUUCAGUUGGAAAUCAUUUCCCCUAGUCCUGUUACCACAGACCCUUCUAAAAGAGUGUCCUUUUCUGUAGCUCCCUUUUAGAUACUGAAAGGAUGCUAUCAGUUAGAUCACAGUACAAAUUACCUGUAUAUCUAUGCCUCGCUAUCAUAGUACUGGACAUCCUCAGUCACCAGGAAGGAAUCUGUGAGUUGAACCCAGCUCAAAUCUGCUGCUGUCUUUAAAAUUAAUUUUGUAGUUGUUUAGCUUUUAUACACUGUGUUGGGCUGAACCAUGUUUUCACUCUUGUGCUGGUUUAACUGCUUUAGAGAGAGAGAUUCACAUUCUUUUAAAGAUCUCAGGGAGAAACGCAGAACUUGUUGAUCCAUUCAAUUGCUAAUAGCUGUUUAUCUAAAACAAAAGCGACUCUCCUUUUGUGUUGAGAUAAAGUUAACUUCUUUGCAACAGCUGUGAUCAGUCACACUCUGCAUUAUUCCCUGAGAUUCAUGAGCAUCUCCCGUUGCCCAUCUCCACUGAUUCUUCUUUCAUUAUACAGAUUAUGGGCCACUCAGCCUUCUUGAAGAGGGCUAUAACUCCUGGGUAUGUUCCAAAUUGUUCAUGUCGCUGACUCUUUUGGUGACCCCUUGUCCUCUCUCGCCCCAAAUCUGUUUAGAUUUAUUCUGCAGACAGGUAAAACUGAGAACUUCAAUCCAGCAUUUUAGUUCUGCUGAAUGAUUUUUCUAUUCGCUCUUAAACUCCUUUUAAAGAAUGUUUUAUUCAUUUUAUAGCUAUACUUUCACAGAUAUAGAUAUGUAUAAUUUCUACAUAAACAUAUAUUUUUUUAUAAAUGUACAUAUCUAUGUAUGUAUUUGUAUUUCUAUGUAAAUAUAGAUUUGUACACUCCACAUGUAAAUUUGACUUUAUUCACAUAAGCCAUAGCAUGUCCUUUUCUAAGUAUAUCAUACUCAUUCAAGAUGUCCAAUAAUCCUUCACCUUGUCUCUGUUAAUUUGUGCAGUUAAGACAGUAAAAUUUCAGGCUUUAAUCCUCUGUAUUUUAGCUGAUGGCUUUUAUUUUAAAGGCACAAAAAAUGAUAUUCCAAUUAAUUUAAAUCCAGAGCUGUAGUGCACUGUAUUUUAUUUAUUCAGCUAUUUCAUCUUUGAAUUUUAUAAAGAUUUUUAGUCUAAG